rnacentral:misc_RNA from 1 species
UACGUAGGUCCCAAGCGUUGUUCGGAUUCACUGGGCGUAAAGGGUGCGUAGGUGGCUGGGAAAGUCUGAUGUGAAAGCUCCGGGCUCAACUCGGAAAUGGCAUUGGAAACUGACCGGCUAGAGGGUCGGAGGGGAGACUGGAAUUCUCGGUGUAGCAGUGAAAUGCGUAGAUAUCGAGAGGAACACCGGUGGCGAAGGCGAGUCUCUGGACGACCCCUGACACUGAGGCACGAAAGCUAGGGGAGCAAACAGG